UACGAAGGGGGCUAGCGUUGUUCGGAAUUACUGGGCGUAAAGCGUGCGCAGGCGGCUUCUCAAGUCAGGGGUGAAAGCCCAGAGCUUAACUCUGGAAUUGCCUUUGAGACUGAGAGGCUUGAGUACGGGAGAGGAUAGUGGAAUUCCCAGUGUAGAGGUGAAAUUUGUAGAUAUUGGGAAGAACACCGGUGGCGAAGGCGGCUAUCUGGACCGUAACUGACGCUGAGGCGCGAAAGCUAGGGGAGCAAACAGG
rnacentral:rRNA from 1 species